GACGAACGCUGGCGGCGUGCUUAAAACAUGCAAGUCGCACGAGGAGUCUUCGGACUCCGAGUGGCAAACGGGUGCGUAACACGUGAACAACCUGCCGUGCCGUGGGGGAUACCCGCCCGAAAGGGUGGUUAAUCCCGCAUAGCGCGCGCCUCCUGCCUGGGGGGCGCGGGAAAGCCGCAAGGCGCAGCACGAGGGGUUCGCGGCCUAUCAGCUAGUUGGUGCGGUAACGGCGCACCAAGGCGACGACGGGUAGCCGACCUGAGAGGGUGACCGGCCACAUUGGGACUGAGACACGGCCCAGACUCCUACGGGGGGCAGCAGUUGGGAAUCUUGCGCAAUGGGCGAAAGCCUGACGCAGCGACGCCGCGUGCGGGAUGACGGUCUUCGGAUUGUAAACCGCUUUUCUCGAGGACGAUAAUGACGGUACUCGAGGAAUCAGCCCCGGCUAACUCCGUG
rnacentral:rRNA from 1 species